rnacentral:rRNA from 1 species
UACGGAGGGUGCAAGCGUUAUCCGGAUUCACUGGGUUUAAAGGGUGCGUAGGCGGGUUUGUAAGUCAGUGGUGAAAUCCUGGAGCUUAACUCCAGAACUGCCGUUGAUACUACAGGUCUUGAAUACUCGGGAGGUGAGCGGAAUAUGUCAUGUAGCGGUGAAAUGCUUAGAUAUGACAUAGAACACCGAUUGCGAAGGCAGCUCACUACAGAGUCAUUGACGCUGAGGCACGAAAGCGUGGGGAUCAAACAGGAUUAGAAACCCCUGUAGUCC